UACAGGGGGUGCAAACGUUGCUCGGAAUUAUUGGGCGUAAAGCGCGCGUAGGCGGCUACUUAAGUCGAAUGUGAAAGCCCUUGGCUCAACUGAGGAAGUGCGCCCGAAACUGCAGAGCUUGAGUGCCGGAGAGGGUGGCGGAAUUCCCCAAGUAGAGGUGAAAUUCGUAGAUAUGGGGAGGAACACCGGUGGCGAAGGCGGCCACCUGGACGGUAACUGACGCUGAGACGCGAAAGCGUGGGGAGCAAACAGG
rnacentral:rRNA from 1 species